rnacentral:rRNA from 1 species
UACAGAGGGUGCGAGCGUUAAUCGGAAUUACUGGGCGUAAAGGGUGCGUAGGCGGUUAUAUAAGUUAGAUGUGAAAUCCCUAGGCUUAACCUGGGAACUGCGUUCAAUACUGUAUAGCUAGAGUACUGAAGAGGUUAGUGGAAUUUCCAGUGUAGCGGUGAAAUGCGUAGAGAUCGGGAGGAACACCAGUGGCGAAGGCGGCCAUCUGGCUCAACAUUGACGCUGAGGCACGAAAGCGUGGGGAGCAAACAGG